rnacentral:rRNA from 1 species
UACGAAGGUCCCAAGCGUUAUCCGGAUUUAUUGGGUUUAAAGGGUGCGUAGGCGGGUUAUUAAGUCAGUGGUGAAAGCUCCAUGCCUAACAUGGAAAUUGCCAUUGAUACUGAUGAUCUUGAGUACAUUUGAAGUGGGCGGAAUGUGUCAUGUAGCGGUGAAAUGCUUAGAUAUGACACAGAACACCGAUUGCGUAGGCAGCUCACUAAACUGUAACUGACGCUGAGAAGCGAAAGCAUGGGGAGCGAACAGG